rnacentral:rRNA from 1 species
AACGAACGCUGGCGGCAGGCUUAACACAUGCAAGUCGAACGGUCUCUUCGGAGGCAGUGGCAGACGGGUGAGUAACGCGUGGGAACAUACCUUUCGGUACGGAACAACAGUUGGAAACGACUGCUAAUACCGUAUACGCCCUGAGGGGGAAAGAUUUAUCGCCGAGAGAUUGGCCCGCGUUGGAUUAGCUAGUUGGUGGGGUAAUGGCCUACCAAGGCGACGAUCCAUAGCUGGUCUGAGAGGAUGAUCAGCCACACUGGGACUGAGACACGGCCCAGACUCCUACGGGAGGCAGCAGUGGGGAAUAUUGGACAAUGGGCGGCAAGCCUGAUCCAGCCAUGCCGCGUGAGUGAUGAAGGCCUUAGGGUUGUAAAGCUCUUUCGGACGGAAAGAAAUCGCCGCCUCUAACACAGGCGGUGGAUGACGGUACCGUAAGAAGAAGCACCGGCUAACUACGUG